rnacentral:rRNA from 1 species
AACGAGAUUGUCCAGCUUGCUGGACAUGUCCGUGGCGCACGGGUGCGUAACGCGUAUGCAACCUACCUUUAUCUGGGGGAUAGCCCGGAGAAAUCCGGAUUAAUACCGCAUAAAAUCACAGGAUGGCAUUAUCCAAUGAUCAAACAUUUAUGGGAUGAAGAUGGGCAUGCGUGUCAUUAGCUAGUUGGCGGGGUAACGGCCCACCAAGGCGACGAUGACUAGGGGAUCUGAGAGGAUGGCCCCCCACACUGGUACUGAGACACGGACCAGACUCCUACGGGAGGCAGCAGUAAGGAAUAUUGGUCAAUGGAGGCAACUCUGAACCAGCCAUGCCGCGUGCAGGAAGACUGCCCUAUGGGUUGUAAACUGCUUUUAUCCGGGAAUAAACCACAUUACGUGUAAUGUGCUGAAUGUACCGGAAGAAUAAGGAUCGGCUAACUCCGUGCCAGCAGCCGCGGUAAUACGGAGGAUCCAAGCGUUAUCCGGAUUUAUUGGGUUUAAAGGGUGCGUAGGCGGCCUGUUAAGUCAGGGGUGAAAGACGGUAGCUCAACUAUCGCAGUGUCCUUGAUACUGAUGGGCUUGAAUGGACUAGAGGUAGGCGGGAAUGAGACAAGUAGCGGUGAAAAUGCAUAGAUAUGUCUCAGAACACCGAUUGCGAAGGCAGCUUACUAUGGUCUUAUUGACGCUGAAGCACGAAAGCGUGGGGGAUCAAACAGGA